rnacentral:rRNA from 1 species
UGGGGAAUAUUGCACAAUGGGCGAAAGCCUGAUGCAGCAACGCCGCGUGAGGGACGACGGCCUUCGGGUUGUAAACCUCUUUUAGCAAGGAAGAAGCGAAAGUGACGGUACUUGCAGAAAAAGCGCCGGCUAACUACGUGCCAGCAGCCGCGGUAAUACGUAGGGCGCAAGCGUUAUCCGGAAUUAUUGGGCGUAAAGAGCUCGUAGGCGGUUUGUCGCGUCUGCUGUGAAAACCCGAGGCUCAACCUCGGGCCUGCAGUGGGUACGGGCAGACUAGAGUGCGGUAGGGGAGAUUGGAACUCCUGGUGUAGCGGUGGAAUGCGCAGAUAUCAGGAAGAACACCGAUGGCGAAGGCAGAUCUCUGGGCCGUAACUGACGCUGAGGAGCGAAAGGGUGGGGAGCAAGCAGCUAGAUGACCCUGGUAGUCCACCCGUAAACGUUGGGAACUAGUUGUGGGGUCCAUUCCACGGAUUCCGUGACGCAGCUAACGCAUUAAGUUCCCCGCCUGGGGAGUACGGCCGCAAGG